UACGUAGGGUGCGAGCGUUUGUCCGGAAUUAUUGGGCGUAAAGAGCUUGUAGGCGGUCUGUCGCGUCUGCUGUGAAAAUCCGGGGCUCAACCCCGGACUUUGCAGUGGGUACGGGCAGACUAGAGUGUGGUAGGGGAGACUGGAAUUCCUGGUGUAGCGGUGAAAUUCGUAGAUAUCAGGAGGAACACCAGUGGCGAAGGCGGCUUCC
rnacentral:rRNA from 1 species